rnacentral:rRNA from 1 species
AUUGAACGCUGGCGGCAUGCUUUACACAUGCAAGUCGAACGGUAACAGGUUAAGCUGACGAGUGGCGAACGGGUGAGUAAUGCAUCGGAACGUGCCCGGUCGUGGGGGAUAACGCAGCGAAAGCUGCGCUAAUACCGCAUACGAUCUGAGGAUGAAAGCGGGGGACCGUAAGGCCUCGCGCGAUCGGAGCGGCCGAUGUCAGAUUAGGUAGUUGGUGGGGUAAAGGCUCACCAAGCCGACGAUCUGUAGCUGGUCUGAGAGGACGACCAGCCACACUGGGACUGAGAGACGGCCCAGACUCCUACGGGAGGCAGCAGUGGGGAAUUUUGGACAAUGGGCGCAAGCCUGAUCCAGCAAUGCCGCGUGCAGGAAGAAGGCUUUCGGGUUGUAAACUGCUUUUGUACGGAGCGAAAAGGCUCUCUCUAAUACGGAGGGCUCAUGACGGUACCGUAAGAAUAAGCACCGGCUAACUACGUGCCAGCCGCCGCGGUAA